GGCCCGGUCCCGGGCAAUGAGGCCCGGUGAACCGUGUCAGGACCGAGAGGUAGCAGCACUAAGCAGGUAACCUCAUGUGCUUUGGGGUAGCCGGGCCGGAGUG
rnacentral:SRP_RNA from 1 species